CUCUCGGCAACGGAUAUCUCGGCUCUCRCAUCGAUGAAGAACGUAGCGAAAUGCGAUACUUGGUGUGAAUUGCAGAAUCCCGUGAACCAUCGAGUUUUUGAACGCAAGUUGCGCCCGAAGCCUUUUGGCCAGGGCACGUCUGCCUGGGCGUCACG
rnacentral:rRNA from 1 species